UGAGGGAAUAUUUGGGGUCAAUGGGCGAGAGCCUGAACCAGCCAAGUAGCGUGUGGGACGAAUGCCCUAUGGGUUGUAAACCACUUUUGCAGGAGGGUAAAAUGCUUCACGUGUGGAGUAUUGCAAGUAUCCUGCGAAUAAGGACCGGCUAAUUCCGUGCCAGCAGCCGCGGUAAUACGGAAGGUCCGGGCGUUAUCCGGAUUUAUUGGGUUUAAAGGGAGCGUAGGCGGGGAGUCAAGUCAGUUGUGAAAGCCGCGGCCCAACCGUGGUCGUGCAGUUGAAACUGGUUCUCUUGAGUGCGCACGAGGACGGUGGAAUUCGUGGUGUAGCGGUGAAAUGCUUAGAUAUCACGAAGAACUCCG
rnacentral:rRNA from 1 species